rnacentral:RNase_P_RNA from 2 species
GAUAUAAGUUGUUCUAUCGCUUCAUUAGAUUGAAGAGGAAAGUCCAGACACCACAGAGCAUCAUACCAAUUGAAAAAUUGGGCUAGACAGGCGAGAGUUUUUCUAGACAGAUAGUGCCACAGAAAAUAAACCGCUUUAAGUAAUUAGAGUAAGGGUGAAAAGGUGCGGUAAGAGCGCACCAGUAAAUUCAGUAAUGAAUUUAGCUUGGUAAACCUUAUGAGGUGCAAGAUCAUGUAUACCAGAGCUUAGAGUUACUCGCUCAAUCUGGAGGGUAGAUUGCACAGUUAAAUGAUAGAUUAAAACAGAAUCUGGCUUAUUAAAUCCUAUAUCAAAC